rnacentral:lncRNA from 11 species
CAGUUGUUUUGGUUUUGAAAGAUGAUUGAUAUGGAAAACUUAAUGAUACGAGCAGUAUGAGUAUAGAGAACAUGGCAGAGAUGUUGCAUGCUGCUAUUUUAGACACCAAGAAAGAAAUGGAGGGGUAAUUACCAUUCACUUUAUAUCCUGAUAUGGAUAUUAAACAGCCUUAUAACCAGGAAAGGAAAUAAUUCCUGAAGAAGUGCAAUUC